ACGCUCGACACCUACGGGAGCAGCAGUCGGGAAUAUUGCGCAAUGGAGGAAACUCUGACGCAGUGACGCCGCGUAUGGGAAGAAGGUUUUCGGAUUGUAAACCAUUUUAGACAGGGAAGAAAAAAGACAGUACCUGUAGAAUAAGCUCCGGCUAACUACGUGCCAGCAGCCACGGUAAUCUGAGCGGGCUGGCAAGGC
rnacentral:rRNA from 1 species